rnacentral:lncRNA from 1 species
UUAAUUGCUAAACUGACCUCAAGCAGCAUUGUGUUUAGUAAGAAGCCAUUUCCACUUCAGUUUCCAUAAAACACAGAGGCAGAAACAGCGUGAACACAAUAAAUACUUUAUAUGUCUAGAGUCAUAAAUAUUAAGAUUCAAUGUGCAGUGUAAGAGGUGUGGAUACAGUCAGUAAGGAACAGCGUAAAGGUGUGGAUACAGUCAGUAAGGAACAGUGUAAAGGUGUGGAUACAGUCAGUAAGGAACAGUGUAAAGGUGUGGAUACAGUCAGUAAGGAACAGUGUAAAGGUGUGGAACAGUCAGUAAGGAAUUGUAAAUGUGGAUACAGUCAGUAAGGAACAUGUAAAGGUGUGGAUAGGGACACAGUAAAACCAUG